GAUGAAGAACGUAGCGAAAGGCGAUAACUAAUGUGAAUUGCAGAAUUCCGUGAAUCAUCGAGUCUUUGAACGCACAUUGCGCCCCCUGGUAUUCCGGGGGGCAUGCCUGUCCGAGCGUCAUUGCUGCCCAUCAAGCACGGCUUGUGUGUUGGGUCCUCGUCCCCCCCGGGGGACGUGCCCGAAAGGCAGCGGCGGCACCGCGUCCGGUCCUCGAGCGUAUGGGGCUUUGUCACCCGCUCUGCAGGCCCGGCCGGCGCUGGCCGACGCGAAAGCAACCAUUUUUUCUCCAGGUUGACCUCGGAUCAGGUAGGGAUACCCGCUGAACUUAAGCAUAUCAAUAAGCGGAGGA
rnacentral:misc_RNA from 1 species